rnacentral:rRNA from 1 species
AACGAACGCUGGCGGCAGGCCUAACACAUGCAAGUCGAACGCUGUAGCAAUACAGAGUGGCAGACGGGUGAGUAACGCGUGGGAACAUGCCCUUCGGUUCGGAAUAACUCAGGGAAACUUGAGCUAAUACCGGAUACGCCCUUCGGGGGAAAGAUUUAUUGCCGAAGGAUUGGCCCGCGUCCGAUUAGCUAGUUGGUGAGGUAAUGGCUCACCAAGGCGACGAUCGGUAGCUGGUCUGAGAGAAUGAUCAGUCACACUGGGACUGAGACACGGCCCAGACUCCUACGGGAGGCAGCAGUGGGGAAUAUUGGACAAUGGGCGCAAGCCUGAUCCAGCCAUGCCGCGUGAGUGAUGAAGGCCCUAGGGUUGUAAAGCUCUUUCGCCAGGGACGAUAAUGACGGUACCCGGAUAAGAAGCCCCGGCUAACUUCGUGCCAGCCGCCGCAGUAAGAC